CGCAUUUCCUUUUUGACUUAAGAGGGAGAGAGAGAGAGAGAAGCGGAGGCUGGGGGCUGGUGGACUCAUCGAGCUCCCAUCUGUGGGGCAUCUCACAGGUCUCUGCAGCUCCAAAAGUCAGCUGAAAAAACAAGCACUCUCUUUUUAGCAGUUGAUGCAAGACACAUCAGGACUCGGGCAAAAGGCAAAGAAAGAAAGCAAACCCACUCUAUUUGGAGUUAGAAGCAACUGCUACUGAUCUGGUUUUGGUCUCGCAUAGGUUGAACGCAUUUGCUACGGUCCUGAUAUAUGUCAAGCAGUAAAGAUACGGGAGUUAAAGCUGCCACAGGGCUGGUCCUGCAAGAUUGGAGGAUGGAGACCUUCAGUGGAGGUUGGACGUACCCAGGUGACUCCAAGGUGUAUUAAGAUUUUUCCUCUGCUAAAAAAGCCCCAGUUCUAUCAGAAAAAAAAAUAUUGCUGAAGAAGAGGGGAUAAAGAGGGAUCUGAUUCACCUCUUAACAAAAUAUGGUCUGGCAGAAGAGGAAUAGAAGAGGGACAGCGGGAGGGAGCUGAACUCCCCCCAGCACCCCCUAUAGAGAGGCCCAUGGAAAUACCAGCAGAAGAUUUGUGGCAUCAUUUGAGAGGAAUAAAUGACGACAAACAUCCCAUAAAGAGGCAUCGGAAUAUUUAGCAAUCAAAGAAGCAAGGCUAUCUGCACAGUUUGAAGACAAAAUUUUCUACCCAGAAUUAAAUCAUCUCAGAAGUGAGAAGAGAAGCUGCUGCUACAAUAACUAACCUUUCUUAAUUUCUCAAUAAUAUUUUUUAAAUUAAAACCACGCUACUUUUGCCAGAAACCAUGUUACUGGAAACUUCUCUCUUCUUCCUCAAUUGUACUAACAUUGAUUGUAUAAUUUUUUCACUCAAUACAACUUUUUCAAAAUACAGAAAAAUGUAAAAAUCAUUUUAAACAGCU